CCAACCAAGCUAAGUUGAAGA
rnacentral:siRNA from 1 species